GGUUCUUUGCAUAAACCGGAACUAGGGGGUUAGAUGAUUCAACAUUGAUUGUUUCACUUAAUGUAAAUUCUUAGCUAGGAUUGUUUUUGUUUGGAGACGGAUACAGAGUCGGACUGCUGUAUGCCGGAUUGUAUGGAGGUCACGGCCAACUUUAGUCGACCGGUUGAGCCGUAGACUGGAAGUGUCGAUAAAUCGUCUACGGGCGUGUGUUACCGAGCACUUUUUCGGUGUGUGUAUGAACCGAGCACCUUUUCGGUAGUGUUUUGGCCUGUUAGUGGGCGGCGAGUGUGCACCUCGCUAGGACCAUUGUUUGUUGCUUGAGUACUUUAGGUACUGUGUUUGACAUGCAUUAGAAUUAAAUUAUAUUUAUUCGGAGUGCUAUGUCCGGGUCCAUGGACUUCGGGGUAGCAUCCCAUACCUCGC
rnacentral:lncRNA from 1 species